rnacentral:rRNA from 1 species
UACGUAGGUCCCGAGCGUUGUCCGGAUUUAUUGGGCGUAAAGCGAGCGCAGGUUGUUUAUUAAGUCUGGUGUAAAAGGCAGUGGCUCAACCAUUGUAUGCAUUGGAAACUGGUAGACUUGAGUGCAGGAGAGGAGAGUGGAAUUCCAUGUGUAGCGGUGAAAUGCGUAGAUAUAUGGAGGAACACCGGUGGCGAAAGCGGCUCUCUGGCCUGUAACUGACACUGAGGCUCGAAAGCGUGGGGAGCAAACAGG